GAUGAACGCUGGCGGCGUGCCUAAUACAUGCAAGUCGAGCGAACGGACGAGAAGCUUGCUUCUCUGAUGUUAGCGGCGGACGGGUGAGUAACACGUGGAUAACCUACCUAUAAGACUGGGAUAACUUCGGGAAACCGGAGCUAAUACCGGAUGAUAUUUUGAACCGCAUGGUUCAAAAGUGAAAGACGGUCUUGCUGUCACUUAUAGAUGGAUCCGCGCUGCAUUAGCUAGUUGGUAAGGUAACGGCUUACCAAGGCAACGAUGCAUAGCCGACCUGAGAGGGUGAUCGGCCACACUGGAACUGAGACACGGUCCAGACUCCUACGGGAGGCAGCAGUAGGGAAUCUUCCGCAAUGGGCGAAAGCCUGACGGAGCAACGCCGCGUGAGUGAUGAAGGUCUUCGGAUCGUAAAACUCUGUUAUUAGGGAAGAACAUAUGUGUAAGUAACUGUGCACAUCUUGACGGCACCUAAUCAGAAAGCCACGGCUAACUACGCG
rnacentral:rRNA from 1 species